GUACAUUAUCAGAAAAAUAAUCAAUAAAUGUGUUUUAAAGUUACACCGAUUCAAUUAAAUCCAAAACAUGCACUGCUUGUGAACUUUCAUCAAAAUGUCAAUUUCCUACAAUGACAAAAGAAAUUACAUUGUGUGCAUUCCAUCUCUAUACAUGUUGUCUGUUUAACGUCCCGACCUAAAGAGAAAUAAAAAGACUAAGUUUUUCUUAAUAUAAACCCGCGUCACGUGAUGUCUCCUCAAUCUUGCGCGCGCGCUGUAUCUAAAAUAAAAGAAAAACUUUCCAAACUAAACAUGAAACUUCUCCGGUAACAUAAUAAUAUAGACCCCAUACCAAAGCAAACAAACAAACAAAUAAACAAAUACCCCCCCCCCCCUUUUUUCCAAAUCAAUCAAUAAAAAAAAAUCAAUUAUCCAUUCAUCAUAGGGGAAAGACUGCCUAACAAUUGUUUUUGAAACAAUUGCUUUAUAUUUAUUAUUAAGUCUUUCCACUUUUCUGUGGAAAGACUUAUUGUUUUUGUUCUGAUUAUUAUUUUUUUUUUUUUCUUCCGCCAAAUUUUGUUCUUGCGCAAAAUGUUUGUUUCGCAAUAUGUCGCUUAGAUAUUUCUCAUAUGGUAUCGUAUAAUUUAUGCGCUUUAAA
rnacentral:lncRNA from 1 species